GGGGGUAUAUGCUCAGUGGUAAGAGCGCUCGCCUUAAGCAGGGGAGAGGGCUGGGGUUCAAUUCCCCCUGAUCCCA